UGAGACUUUCCCAUUUUUGAUUUAUUUGUCUAAAGUGUGUUUGUAUUGCUGACUGCUUUAAAGCCUUUGACAGAGAAUUCUAAUAUCUCUAUCAUCUUAGUGAUGAAAUCUAUGAUUUUUUCAUUUAUUUUGAAAUUGUAUUCAGUUCUUCCUGAUUCUUGACAUGUUGAGUCAUUCUCUAUUGAAAUCUGGGCAUUUCUGCUACUGUAUUAUGAGACUAUGGGCCUCAUUUAAGCUGUCCAUUUUAGCUGGCUUCCUCUGACACUACUUCAACAAAGGAGGGAGAAGCUGUGCUGUUUUGUUACUGGCUGGUAGGGGUAGAACUCUGGUUUCCCCACUAAAUCUCUGUUAACACAUGAGAUGAGGGCUCAUGAUUACUGCUUGGGGAUGGUGGGAGUCGUGGUUCUCUCUAGGCCUCUAUUAACAACUCCCUGACUAAGAGGGGUAGGAAUACCUCUUUCUCAUUUCACAUGUGGACUCUCUGACACCACAGAGGUGGAAGGGUGGUCUUAUUAUUCCUGGGCAGAGGUGAAAGUCCUGACCCUCCACUAGGCUCCACUGAUGCCCAGUAGGGAGGGAAGGGGAUACCUCUUUACUAACAGGUGGGAGGUGAAAACUCAGGCUCACCAGCCUGACAUUAUGAGGAAGGAUAUGAGCUCAUUACCACCCAGUGAGGAUGGACAUCCCAGCUACCUUCUUGGCCUUCCUGGACACCAACCCAGCAGGAGAGGAGUGGAAAUAUUUGAUGGAUAUUCUACAUCAAAGUCCAGGACAUAAAAGACGGAUGCAGAGCUUUCCCUCCAGUGGAAUCUGGAAAAAUUAACCUGGAGUCCCAUUUUCUUGUAUACUUCUUAAUUACUGUGACCCCUAAAAGGCUUUCAAAGCACUGCCAGCCUCCUCAAUGCAGUUUACAUUAGGACCUCUCUGAACACCUUCAGUGUGACAGAGGCAGGCAGGAGAGAAAGGCAUUGUUAUCGUGGUGGAUUCCCCUCUCUCUAUUAGAUCAUAAGUUUCUUAAGGACCAGGGUUUAAUUGUAUCUGAAUCCACAGUACUCAAUCCUAUGCCCAACAGGGAAGGAAUCAUUAUGUGUGUUGAGUGGAUAUACAAACUUGAAGGUGCUCCCAGGCUCUAAGAGUUCC
rnacentral:lncRNA from 1 species